UCAGGAUGAACGCUGGCGGCGUGCCUAAUACAUGCAAGUCGAGCGAACGGACGAGAAGCUUGCUUCUCUGAUGUUAGCGGCGGACGGGUGAGUAACACGUGGAUAACCUACCUAUAAGACUGGGAUAACUUCGGGAAACCGGAGCUAAUACCGGAUAAUAUUUUGAACCGCAUGGUUCAAAAGUGAAAGACGGUCUUGCUGUCACUUAUAGAUGGAUCCGCGCUGCAUUAGCUAGUUGGUAAGGUAACGGCUUACCAAGGCAACGAUGCAUAGCCGACCUGAGAGGGUGAUCGGCCACACUGGAACUGAGACACGGUCCAGACUCCUACGGGAGGCAGCAGUAGGGAAUCUUCCGCAAUGGGCGAAAGCCUGACGGAGCAACGCCGCGUGAGUGAUGAAGGUCUUCGGAUCGUAAAACUCUGUUAUUAGGGAAGAACAUAUGUGUAAGUAACUGUGCACAUCUUGACGGUACCUAAUCAGAAAGCCACGGCUAACUACGUGCCAGCAGCCGCGGUAAUACGUAGGUGGCAAGCGUUAUCCGGAAUUAUUGGGCGUAAAGCGCGCGUAGGCGGUUUUUUAAGUCUGAUGUGAAAAGCCCACGGCUCAACCGUGGAGGGUCAUUGGAAACUGGAAAACUUGAGUGCAGAAGAGGAAAGUGGAAUUCCAUGUGUAGCGGUGAAAUGCGCAGAGAUAUGGAGGAACACCAGUGGCGAAGGCGACUUUCUGGUCUGUAACUGACGCUGAUGUGCGAAAGCGUGGGGAUCAAACAGGAUUAGAUACCCUGGUAGUCCACGCCGUAAACGAUGAGUG
rnacentral:rRNA from 1 species